rnacentral:rRNA from 1 species
ACACAUGCAAGUCGAACGGCAGAGCGGGGAGUUUAUGCUCCUGGCGGCGAGUGGCGGACGGGUGAGUAAUACGUAGGAAUCUACCUUAUAGAGGGGACAACCUGGAGUCUGGCCAAUACCGCAUGAUCUCUAUGGAGUAAAGCGGGGGAUCUUCUGACUCGCGCUAUAAGAUGAGCCUAUGUCGGAUUAGCUUGUUGCGGGGUAAUUGCUCACUACAAGCGACGACCCGUAGCUGGUCUGAGAGGAGAUCAGCCACACUGGGACCGAGACACGGCCCAGACUCCUACGGAGGCAGUAGGAAUCUUGGACAAUGGGGGAACCCUGAUCCAGCAAUGCCGCGUGUGUGAAGAAGGCCCUCGGGUUGUAAAGCACUUUCAGUAGGGAAGAAAUUCUCAAGAGUAAUAUACUUGAGCGUUGACGUUACCUACAGAAGAAGCACUGGCUAACUCUGUGCCAAAGAGUCAUAUAAUACAGAGUGAGCGUUAAUCGGAAUCACUGGGCGUAAAGAGCGCGUAGGUGGAUAUUUAAGUCGGAUGUGAAAGCCCUAGGCUUAACCUAGGGAACUGCACUCGAUACUGGAUAUCUCGAGUAUGGUAGAGGGAAGUGGAAUUUCGGUGUAGCGGUGAAAUGUGUAGAUAUCGGAAAGAACACCAGUGGCGAAGGCGGCUUCCUGGACCAAUACUGACACUGAGGUGCGAAAGCGUGGGGGGAGCAAACAGGAUUAGAGACCCUGGUAGUCCACGUCAACGAUGAGAACUAGCUGUUGAGAAGCCAUUUUCUAGUAGCGAAGCUAACGCGUUAAGUUCUCCGCCUGGGGAGUACGGCCGCAAGGUUAAAACUCAAAGAAAUUGACGGGGGCCUGCACAAGCGGUGGAGCAUGUGGUUUAAUUCGGGAUGCAACGCGAAAACCUUACCUACCCUUGACAUCCUCAGAACUUGUCAGAAUGACUGUGCCUCGGGAACCGGGUGACAGGUGCUGCAUGGCUGUCGCUCGCUCGUGUCGUGGAGAUGUUGCUGCUUCCGUAACGAGCGCAACCCUCGUCCUUAGUUGCCAGCGGUCAGUCGGGAACUCUGCUGAGAUCACAGAUAAACUGAGUGAAGGUGGGGAUGAUGUCAAGUCAUCAUGGCCCUUACGGGUAGGGCUACACACGUGCUACAAUGGGCGGUGCACAAAGGGUUGCCAAACCAAGGUGGAGCCAAUCCCAAAACUGCUCUUAGUCCGGAUUGAAGUCUUGCAACUCGACUUCAUGAAGCUGGAAUCGCUAGUAAUCGCGAAUCAGAAUGUCGCCGCAACAUGUUCUCGGGCCUUGUACACCGCCCGUCACACCAUGGGAGUGAAUUGUACCAGAAGUGGUAGGCUAACCUUCAGUGGAGGGGCCGCUCACCACGGUGUGGUUCAUGACUGGGGUGAAGUCGUAACAAGGUAACCG